AGCAGAAAUAAGGAUUAAUUAAUAAUAUACUUUGGCUUUCGAAUGUAGUUUUUAGAAUGUUAGGCGCCAUUGUGAUUUGCGUCAUACUUCUGGCAUUAGAAGUAGAAUACUCAGAGACCAGGCGCCAUGAAUCAAACAUUGCGAAAACUUUAUACCAUUUGAUAUCGAGUGAUGAGUCAUCAUCAUCAUCAUCAUCAUCAUCACAGGAUUCUGAGGAACUAAGAAAAGGUAAUUUAUUAGUAGUAAUUGUAGGUAUUCUGUCAGACUCAUUUUUCACAAGAUUAUUAUGAUAUUAUAUUGUAAUUUUAAUUAUUUCACAGGAAUUGAUAAAUAUUUGAAACAUAUAUGUAAGUCAAUGUUUAUCUUAAUUGUCUCCGCCGAUUUAUUUUUAAAUAAGUUUUAUUUUCAAAAAAAUAUACAAUGGUUGCUACAAAUAUCAUCUUUCCUACUUCACCACAACAUCCUGUUUUUCCAUUUCUUUUGAAAUUUCUCUUAGAACCAUGACUAUAUUUGUGGAUCUUAUUAAAUUAAUAAAACUUCCCAAUUUUUCAGCGAAAAUAGACGAAAAAUUUUACAAAGAAAAAUUCAGUGAGUUUUUUAAACUUCUUACUAACUUGAAGUUUUUAUUGUACCUGUGAAAAGAAUGUAUUUUGUUCCACAGGAAAGGAAAUAAGUGAGGAAGGUAAGAUUUAAGGAACUAUGUGGGACACAGAAUACAUUGUUGUUAACGAACGGAAAUAUAUUCGAUGUAUUCUGAGUAUCAAAAAGUGUGGAUCUAAAAGGUACCUUGAUCGUAGAAGCUUUGCUAAUAUUUUUUAGGCUAAGAAAAAUUGAACUGUUCAACAAUUUAAAGUCUUAACACUUUAGUGCUCUAAUGUUAUUACAUUUUUCCUGUGUUUUGAUACAUAACAAAGAUCGUCGCCAUAUUGUUUGAGAUAAAAAAAAAUCUUUCAUCUAAAUAAUUAUAAACAUAGUUUUUUAUACACUUCAUUCAUAUAAAUAAUGUGAUGUGUGGUUAAUGUACGAAAGACGGAGUAACUAACACACGAAUUUAAUUUUACGCUAACAGUGUUUAUUGCAGCUAUAAUUCUAAAUCAUGUUGUUUACUUUGGAAAAAAUGUACAGAAAUUAUGAUGUUUAAUUUCUGUAUGAGAUUUAUAUCUUAUUCAUAGGUGAUUCCAUAAAACCGCUAGGUCAGACAUAGGAUGUGAAGAGCUAUCUAGGGUUUGAGAUGUCAAGUAUAAUAGUUGUAAAGCUAUACAUGAGUAAAACCCCGCCGGCAGUCGAGAUUUGGCCAAUAUUUACGAGGGAUGAAUAUUUAAUAAUAUUUUUGUUCACCUAUUAAUAUAUAGAUUACUGGUGGUAGGAUAUAUUUUAUAUCUCUACAAGGUGUUAAAACCUACCAUAGUGGUCCACGUAAGUGUGUCGCGUUCCGGGAUCAGCCUGUGUACAUUUCAACAGGCCGGCAUAACUAUGUCGACUGCUAAGGGACAAUCAUCUCUCGUCAGUCGAAAUUCUAUUGAACCCCACUCCACUUACCCUUAGGUUCAGUGGGAUAGUUUUGCUGUAACCGAAUAAAAAAAAAAUAUGAAUUACAGGCAAUUUAACAAAUUCAUAGGCUGACAAGGCUUUACCCAAAUUCAUUUGUCAAAAUAACCUACAAAGUGACCUCUAACUUUCCUUAUUUAUAAGCCUAGCAUUUUUUCUUACGUAGUUCAUAAUAUUGCAAUCUCGCGCGCGACGGUAGCAUAGACAUCGUUUUAAAUUGAAUUACUUUCGCCUUGCAGAAAAGAAUGAAGAAAAGUUUUAUGAAGAUUUACUGAAAAAAAUAAAAAUGAUUAAUGUUUAAAGAGUAUGGACUUUUAUUUACGCCAAUUUAUACUUACAAAAUGGAACAGAUAAGUAUAAUUAAAAGAAGAUUCCGAUAGGCGCAGCCUAUGUUUUAAUAAAUUAUGAUAUUGCAUACAAAUUGAUUAUAAAUAAAAUAAAUAUCCGUAAUCACGUAGGCGAAAAUAGUUGUGUUUAUGAUAUGCAAAGAGAACUUAUAAGAAGAAUUGUAUACCAAUACUAGGGUAUUUUGCC